GGUCAUUUAGAGGAAGUAAAAGUCGUAACAAGGUCUCCGUUGGUGAACCAGCGGAGGGAUCAUUACCGAGUUAUACAACUCAUCAACCCUGUGAACAUACCUAUAACGUUGCCUCGGCGGGAACAGACGGCCCCGUAACACGGGCCGCCCCCGCCAGAGGACCCCCUAACUCUGUUUCUAUAAUGUUUCUUCUGAGUAAACAAGCAAAUAAAUUAAAACUUUCAACAACGGAUCUCUUGGCUCUGGCAUCGAUGAAGAACGCAGCGAAAUGCGAUAAGUAACGUGAAUUGCAGAAUUCAGUGAAUCAUCGAAUCUUUGAACGCACAUUGCGCCCGCCAGUAUUCUGGCGGGCAUGCCUGUUCGAGCGUCAUUACAACCCUCAGGCCCCCGGGCCUGGCGUUGGGGAUCGGCGGAAGCCCCCUGCGGGCACAACGCCGUCCCCCAAAUACAGUGGCGGUCCCGCCGCAGCUUCCAUUGCGUAGUAGCUAACACCUCGCAACUGGAGAGCGGCGCGGCCACGCCGUAAAACACCCAACUUCUGAAUGUUGACCUCGAAUCAGGUAGGAAUACCCGCUGAACUUAAGCAUAUCAAUAAGCGGAGGA
rnacentral:rRNA from 1 species